rnacentral:rRNA from 1 species
UGGGGAAUAUUGCGCAAUGGGCGAAAGCCUGACGCAGCAACGCCGCGUGUGGGAUGACAGCUUUCGGGUUGUAAACCACUUUCAGGGAUGACGAAAAUGACGGUAAUCCCAGAAGAAGCUCCGGCCAACUACGUGCCAGCAGCCGCGGUAACACGUAGGGAGCAAGCGUUGUCCGGAUUUAUUGGGCGUAAAGAGCUCGUAGGCGGUUUCGUAAGUCGGAUGUGAAAACUCAGGGCUCAACCCGGAGACGCCAUCUGAUACUGCGAUGACUAGAGUCCGGUAGAGGAGCAUGGAAUUCCUGGUGUAGCGGUGGAAUGCGCAGAUAUCAGGAGGAACACCUGAGGUGAAGACGGGUUGCUGGGCUGACACUGACGCUGAGGCGCGAAAGCCAGGGGAGCAAACGGGAUUAGAUACCCGGGUAGUCCCUGAGCGGGCUGGCAAGGCGCAU